AGAGAUCUCUUUUCUUUUUUUUUUUUUUUUUUUUUUUUUUUUUUUUUUUUUUUGAUUUGCAGGGUUGGCUCAGCUGGCUUACAACAGAUAGAAAGAUAAGAAAAGUGUUUGAUGGAGUGAAUGAUCUGAGUAGACAAAUCGCAAACCCUAACCUUCAAGUGGCUCUGAUACCACUUGGUGCAGCCUGGGUAUGGCUUCUGCUCCUGGAUCACUCGAAGGGGAAUGGAAGAGGGUUGUCUGUGGCGGCUACUAGCACUCUGCUGGACUAUGGACGUCUCUCUCAAGCUAUGGAAUGGCGGCAGAGAUGGUUUGCUACUCAAAGACACAAGAUUACCCUGUAUUCUCUAAGAUGGUUUUCACUAAGGAAUUCCUUCCCUAAGGUCUGAUCAAUGUUCCUUUAGCUGAACAGAGAA
rnacentral:lncRNA from 1 species